AUACGUAGGGUGCGAGCGUUGUCCGGAAUUACUGGGCGUAAAGAGCUCGUAGGUGGUUUGUCGCGUCGUCUGUGAAAUUCCGGGGCUUAACUCCGGGCGUGCAGGCGAUACGGGCAUAACUUGAGUACUGUAGGGGAGACUGGAAUUCCUGGUGUAGCGGUGAAAUGCGCAGAUAUCAGGAGGAACACCGGUGGCGAAGGCGGGUCUCUGGGCAGUAACUGACGCUGAGGAGCGAAAGCGUGGGUAGCGAACAGGAUUAGAUACCCUGGUAGUCCAUGCCGUAAACGGUGGGCGCUAGGUGUAGGGGUCUUCCACGACUUCUGUGCCGUAGCUAACGCAUUAAGCGCCCCGCCUGGGGAGUACGGCCGCAAGGCUAAAACUCAAAUGAAUUGACGGGG
rnacentral:rRNA from 1 species